rnacentral:lncRNA from 1 species
GGAUCCUUCUCUAAAAUAGACCAUAUAUUAUGCCACAAAGAAACUCUUAACAAAUACAAAAAGUAGACACUACCCUGCAUUCUAUCACACAUCAUUGGAAUAAAAUUAGAAAUCAAUGGUAAAAUUAAGAAUAAAAUCUGCCCCAACACUUGGAGACUAAAUAAUAUGCUACUGAAUGAACAAUGGGUUGCAAAAGACAUCAAGGAGGAGACUAAAAAAUUCUUAGAAGUAAAUGAGAACAUUCAUACAACAUAUUGAAAUCUCUGGGACACUAUGAAGGCAGUACUAAAAGGAAAUUUCAUUGCAUGGAGUUUAUUCCUUAAAGGAAGAAAAAGUCAACAAAUGAAUGACCUAACAUUGCAUUUUAAAGCCCUAGAAAAAGAAGAACAAAUCAACGUUGAAAGCAGUAGAAGACAGAAGUAAUUAAAAUCAGAGCUAAAAUCAAUAAAAUUUAAACAAAAGAAAAAACUGAAAAAACCCCUUAGCCAUGCUAUCAAAGAGAAAGAGACAGAAGACUCAAAUCACUAACAUACUCAUGAAAAAGAAAUAUUAAAACAGACACCACAGAAAUACACUAUACGAUUAGAAAUUAUUUUGAAAACUUGUGCUCCAAUAAAAUAGAGAAUAUUAUAGGCAUUGACAAAUUUCUAGAAUCAUAUGAUUUGCCCAAAUUGAAUCAGGAUAAUAUAAACAAUUUAAACAGAUCAUUUUUAAGCAGUGAAAUAGAAGACACCAUCAGAAGCCUACCAAUUAAGAAAAGCCCAGACUAGAUGGAUACACAGCUGAAUUCUACAGGACCUAUAAAGAAGAAAUAAUACCUAUACUCUUCAAAUUAUAUUGUGAAAUAUAAAAAGAGGGAGAAUUUCCAAAUUCAUUAUAUGAGGCUAAUAUCACCCGGAUACCAAAACCAGACAAAGACACAACAAGGAAAGAAAACUUCAGGCCAAUAUCUCUAAUAAACAUAGAUGUAAAAAUUCUCAAUAAAAUUCUGGCAAAUCAAAUACAAAAACAUAUCCAAAUGAUAGUGCCCCUUUAUCAAGUGAGGUUCAUCCUAGGGAUGCAAGGUUGGUUCAACAUAUGGAAAUCAAUAAAUGUAAUUCAUCACAUUAAUAAACUUGAAGAUAAGAAUCAUAUGAUCAUCUCAAUAGUUGCAGAAAAAGCAUUUGACAAAAUACAGAACCCAUUCGUAUUCAAAGCACUAUAAAAACUGGGGAUAAAAGGAACAUAUCUCAACAUUGUAAAAGCUAUCUAUGCUAGACCCUAGGCCAACAACAUUCUAAAUGGAGAAAAACUGAAAGCACUCCAUCUAAAAACUGAAACAAGAAAGGAAUGCCCUCUUUCACCACUUCUUUUUAACAUGGUUCUUGAAAAACUGGCCAGAGCAAUUAGAGAGAAGAAAGAAAUUAAAAGAAUAUGGAUAGUAAAAAUAAGAACUCAAAUUAGCACUAAUUGCUGAUAAUAUGACUCUACAUAUAGAAGACCAAAAAUUUAAACAGAAAAAUUCUAGAACUAGUAAAUGAGUUCAUCAAAGUAGCAGGAUACAAAAUCAUAAAUCAAAGGGAUUUCUGUACAUCAGUGACAAAUACUCUGAAAAGGAAAUGAGGAAAACUACCCCAUUUGUGAUAGCCUCCUCCCAAAAUAAAAUACUUGGGAAUUAACCUAACAAAAGAGGUUAAAGACCACUACAACAAAAACAAUAGAAGGCUAAAGAAAGAAAUUAAAGAAAUCUUUAGAAGAUGGAAAAAUCUCCAUUGUUCUUGGAUAGGCAAAAUUAAUAUUAUCAAAAUGACCAUAUUACCAAAAGCACUAUACAGAUUUAAUGGAAUUCCAAUCAAAACCCCAAUGAAAUUUCUCAUAGAAAUAGAAAAAGUGGUCAUGAAAUUCAUCUGGAAAAAAUAAGAGACCCAGAAUCACUAAAGCAAUCCUUAGCAGGAAGAGUGAGGCAGAUGGUAUCAAUAUACAAGAUCUUAAACUAUACUACAGAACAAUACUAACAAAAACACCAUGCUAUUGGCACCAAAAUACAAUGGUAGACCAGUGGUACAGAAUAGAGGGCACAGAGACUGUCCCACAUAAUUACCGUUAUAUUAUACAAAGUUGCCAAAACAUAUUGGAGAAAAGAUGGUGUCUUCAACAAAUGGUUCUAGGAAAACUGGAAAUCCAUAUGCAACAAAAUGAAAUUAAAGCCCUAUCUCUCACCAUUCACAAAACUCAACUCAAAGUGGAUCAAGGACCUAGGAAUUAAAUCAGAGACACUGUGCCUAUUAAAAGUUAAAGUAGGCCCAAAUCUCUAUCAUGUCAGAUUAGGCCCCAACUUCUUUAAUAAUACUCCUAUAAUGCAAGAAUUAAAAUUUAACAAUUAAUAAAUAGGAUGGAUUCAAAAGCUUCUUCUGAGCAGAAGAAACAUCUUGGGAGCAAAUUUUUACCACUCUUACAAUGGAUAGAGUACUAAUCUCUAGGGUAUAU